rnacentral:ncRNA from 1 species
GGCCAGGAGUGCUGUCGAUCACGGUGCGUUGGACGAUUGUUCCACUUGGCCU